rnacentral:rRNA from 1 species
CCUACGGGUGGCUGCAGUGGGGAAUAUUGGACAAUGGGGGGAACCCUGAUCCAGCCAUGCCGCGUGUGUGAAGAAGGCCCUCGGGUUGUAAAGCACUUUCAGUGAGGAAGAACGCCUGGUGGUUAAUACCCAUCAGGAAAGACAUCACUCACAGAAGAAGCACCGGCUAACUCCGUGCCAGCAGCCGCGGUAAUACGGAGGGUGCGAGCGUUAAUCGGAAUUACUGGGCGUAAAGCGCGCGUAGGUGGCUUGAUAAGCCGGUUGUGAAAGCCCCGGGCUCAACCUGGGAACGGCAUCCGGAACUGUCAAGCUAGAGUGCAGGAGAGGAAUGUAGAAUUCCCGGUGUAGCGGUGAAAUGCGUAGAGAUCGGGAGGAAUACCAGUGGCGAAGGCGGCCUUCUGGACUGACACUGACACUGAGGUGCGAAAGCGUGGGUAGCAAACAGGAUUAGAUACCCUAGUAGUC